AUUGAACGCUGGCGGCAUGCCUUACACAUGCAAGUCGAACGGUAACAGGUCUUCGGAUGCUGACGAGUGGCGAACGGGUGAGUAAUACAUCGGAACGUGCCUAGGAGUGGGGGAUAACUACUCGAAAGAGUGGCUAAUACCGCAUGAGAUCUACGGAUGAAAGCAGGGGAUCGCAAGACCUUGUGCUACUAGAGCGGCCGAUGGCAGAUUAGGUAGUUGGUGGGAUAAAAGCUUACCAAGCCGACGAUCUGUAGCUGGUCUGAGAGGACGAUCAGCCACACUGGGACUGAGACACGGCCCAGACUCCUACGGGAGUCAGCAGUGGGGAAUUUUGGACAAUGGGCGAAAGCCUGAUCCAGCAAUGCCGCGUGCAGGAUGAAGGCCUUCGGGUUGUAAACUGCUUUUGUACGGAACGAAAAGCCCCGGGUUAAUACCCUGGGGUCAUGACGGUACCGUAAGAAUAAGCACCGGCUAACUACGUGCCAGCAGCCGCGGUAA
rnacentral:rRNA from 1 species